GCCAUCUUGGAUCCACUUGUCAACGUCCCCACAAAGCAUUGUGGGUAAGAAAGAGCCUUUAAAGUGACUCCCCUCGGCCCCCGACUCCCGCCUCCGCCGGCGCCGCCCCUCCGGCCGCACCUCCGGCGCGGAAAGUUGCCCGCCGCCUGCCGCGCGGCCCCUCCCCUCCGCCGGCUGUUUGCGUUUAAAAUCCGCCCCCAUCUUUAAAACGGGGCUCCGGGUCUCUGCGGCCGCCGCCGCUCCCGGCCUCCCUUCCCCCACCCCUCGCGUCCACGCGGGCCCCGGCGCCCCCCGGGGCGGACGGACACCCCAAGUCUGCGUCUGAUCGGCCGCGGGCUUCCCGCGCCGGCGGCGAGGAGCCGCUCAGAUUCGUCUGUGCGCGCUGCUGCGUCGGUUUCGGCCCCAGACCCUCGCCGCCCGCCGGCGGGCUUCUGCUCCCCGGGCCGGGGCCCGAGCGCCGGCGCUGGGCCGCCGCGUACGCGGACGGAAGGUGUGUCCAGCCGCCCAACGGCCCGGGACCCUGCGGAGGCCGGCUUCGCGGCGGGGGCAGGGGGCACGAGGCGAAAAGCAACUUUUACCCGCUUGCGGCUCCCUUCCGCGGGCUCUUCCCGGGCCGGCACCGCGAUCCGCGACCCUCAGACGGAGACCCCUCCCCUAGGAAUGUGGCCUCUCUCGGCCGAGUCCGCCCUUCUGCAGUCCGCGCCGCGCGCGUUCUAGGACUUCCCCGGGCAGCCCUGCAGCUCAGCCCUUGGGUCUCUCUUACUCAGCUACACCGCCUCCCCUUCCCAUCCAGCCUGUGCUGUGCGAAGUCACUUCAGUCAUGUCUGACUCUGUGGACUAUACCUCCGAAGCUCCUCUGUCCAUGGAAUUCUCCAGGCAAGAAUACCGGAGUAGGUUGCCAUGCCCUCCUCCAGAGAACAGUUCUGACCCAGGGAUCAAACCCAUGUCUUUUAUGUCUCCUGCAUUGGCAGGAGGUCCUGGUAAGGAACACAGACCUAAUACGCCACCACCAACCAGAAGAGUUAGGGAAAGGUCAAAAGGAGAUACCACGUGUCCGACCACCUCCCAGAAUCCUUCUCUUUGGCAUCCAUCUUGGCUGAACAAGGCGUGCACCACCAGGAAGGACUCUUGAGUCAGAAUGAUUGGCAGAAGACAACCCGGAAACUAAUCCCAUCACCAUAAAACCCUAGACUGCAAGCCAUGUGACAGAGCUGUUCUCCUGGGUUCCCUUACCCUGCUGCUCUCCCCCGGGGGCCCUUUCCAAUAGAAUCUCUUGCUCUGUCAGCACAUGUGUCUCCUCGGACAGUUCAUUUCCGAGUGUUAGACAAGAGCCCGGUUUCGGGCCCUGGAAGGGGUUCCCCUUCCUGCAACAGUCCUGCCACUCUUCCCAGCUGUCUGUGGGUGCGGCCCCUCAGCUCGUGAAGCAGCUGUGUGGGCAGGGGCUGGGGCAGGAAGGAGGGGCAGUGACUGGGAGGUGUGGCCUUUUCUUUUGGAGUGCCAGAAAUGUUUGAAACCAGACUUGGGGGCUGCACAUCAUGAAGGCGUACUAAAUUUGAUUAAUUUUAUGUGAGUUUCAUCCCAAUUUAAAAACAAAUAAAACUCAUUGGAUAGAUUUAACAAACAAAAGACUAUAUUUUUCUCCUUCCUAACAAAGGAAAUAUAUGCCUUCUGAAAGGAAAUAGAUUUUUAAAGAAUUUCUGGCAUCCUCAAACUUGACUACUUGCUUUUCUCAGUUGUUUUUUUUUAGGUUGUACAAAGCAAGUUUUUUAAGGUGUACCACAUGAUGACUUAACGUGCAUACACAUUGUGAAAUGAUUACAAUAAAUACGUUCAUCUCCUAACCUUUUGAGGGAGGAGUGAGAACACUAAAGAUCCACUCUCUUAGCUGAUUUUGCGUGCUCAGUGCAGUGUUGUUGACUGGAGUUAACAUGCUGUAGUUAGAUCUUUACAACUUCAUCUUCUUAUAACUGAAAGUUUGUGCCCUUUGACCAACCUCUCCCCAUUUCCCCCACUCCCCAGCCCCCGACAACCACCACUCCACUCUCUGGUUCUAGGAGUUUGACUUCUUUAGAUUCCACAUGUAAGUGAGAUCACAGCGUGGUUGUCUUUCUGUGUCCAGCUAGUUUCUCUUCGCAUCCUGUCCUCUGCGUGCAUCCGUGUUGUCUUGCCUUUCAGCCCUUUCUCACAUCUGCCCUUCCCGUCUCCGCUGGCCAGGUAUGCAUAUGAGCCGUGCACAGGCACCUCCACGGGUCUGCCUUUGCCUCUGGCUUUCUGACCUCCUGCAGCCUCUCCCGGAGGGCAGUCGCUGCUUUGCUGAGUCUGCAUCUCUGCUGGCGGUCCUCACAAUGAUCUUGACAGGAAGCUAGGCUUCCUGGGUCCUGAGUCAGCAGAGUGGAAAGGAAAUGAAGGCCACAGAGCAGUCAGAGAGGAAGCUGCCACCCUACAGGCAGAACUGACACUUCUCUGUAGGUCUGGAAGAGAGUCCAGUCCUCUGAUUCCAGAACACGGCUCCUGAAACACUGGCUCCUGGGUCAGCCAACCCUGAGCAAGUCUUCUGCCUCUCUCUGCAGUCAUUUGCCCAGAUAUAAAGUGGGAAUGGCUGUGUAAGGAUCUCAGGCAUCAACAGCCAUGGCCUGGAUAGAAAAAGUCUGCACAAGGGCUAGCGCUAACUCCUUUCAAAAAUUUCUAAGUGGAGAGUUAAAAAAUACCCAUCUAUUUUCUUCCUGCUUUUCCUCUCCAUGAUCCGGUUAAGAACUGAUAUCAAAAGAGCAGACAAAACAAACCUGAAACACCCUAG
ensembl:lncRNA